GGACAUUUAAGGCUGUUCCUAGUGGCAAUGGGGCUGGCUCAGCACAUCCGUUGUCAGUCACUUUCUCUUUUCUAAGUACUUUCUGUGCCAUUUAAGCAGACGAUGGUGACACUGGUGUUAAGCGUGCGACUUCUACAGCCUACACUGCCGGCAUAGGGAGGGACCCAGGAGGUUGCAAGGUGUUUUAAUGUCCUUCCUCUCUUGCCAGCACUACUUUUUGCUCUUGCGUUUUGUUUUGUUUUGUUUUGCAAAAGAGGCAACAGCGAUCUGCAGACUCUGCUUUCUGCCUUGUACCAGAGAGCCACAGUAUAUGUUCGAUCAUGUAACACACUGGUGUUUAGUUCAUUCUUGCUGCGAAAGAAGGCCAUUGUACUUCCUGACCCCAAAAGCAAGGGACGGUGGCUGCUACAUGCAGUUUCAGAUCAAUCUGCUAUCGUCACUGUGCCUGAGACCCAAAUAAUUUCUCUGUCAACUCUGGACACUUUGAAGUGAGUGGGGACUUUUUUGAUUGGCAUAAACUGCCUGCAUGCAUCCAGAGGACAGAGAAUCAACAGUGAUAACCCUCCUCCCUCCCACUCCAUCUGUAUCAUUUUGCUAAAAAGCCUUAGAGGAAAUGUGUCUUCUUCAAGCAGAAAAAAUUUAAUUUUGGCUGAAUUGAAUGAGAGAAGCCAGGACUAUUCAAAUGGCCUCUGUAUUCUGUCAUUGGCACAAAGGCGAAGACAAGGCCCUGGAUCCUAAGUAGGAAUCUACCUGGACUCACAGCAGUGUCCGCCUGCUGGACAGAAUCUCUUGAACCCCUGGGGAAGGAACUCUAUCUGCCAGUGCCUUGUACGUGAUAUGAGUCUUAUACUCGUAUUAAUGAUGAUACCUCUUCCAUCAAUAUCUUGGAUUAUUACCAGUGUCUGGAAGAAAUUUUAUUGGCUGCUGCAGUUCAUUGAGAAUUAAUUGAUAUGACACCCUUACUCUACAUGAACUUGGAAAAAAGUCUGUCAAGUAAUAUCAUGACCCCAGGGGACUGUGGUGAAAGAGAGGAAUGCUGGAUCUUCUCUUCUGGAACAGACAUUGCAGAGGAAGAGAUGGAUGAUGAACAGAGAGAAAACAAAAUUUUAAAAAUGAGAAAAAGAUUUCAAAGAAAAUGUGGGAGUCCAUGGAGAGAGCUGGACAGAACGGCAAAGACAUUGAGAACACGGGAUUAUCAGAGUGAGAGGAAGGUGUGGUGGCCGGAGCUGCAGCAGCCUAAGGAGCAGAGAGGACGCCAGGAUCAGAAGGAUGUCACCGGGAAGCCACAGGCUGUGUUGAGUGGUAGCCAGUGGUGACGGUGGUGGCAGGCCUUGAAUACAGAGUUUACUGUAGGGAAGGAAGACCACUAACAGUUUUGGGUAGGAGAAUGAUGUCAUAAAAAUGGCUUUUUAUGAGGAUUAGUCAAGUGGUGUGUGAGAAAAAGUAGCUCUUUGUUGGCAAAGACACAAGUGCUAUGCCCAUAGCAUAGCAAUUGUCUAAGCAUGAGGAAGUGCUAAUACUGCUCAAGAGAGUGUACAACCACAAGGAUUUAAUAAUUCUCUGGUGAAUUAGGAAAACUAUUUUUAAAUGUCCCAAAGUAUUCAAACAAUCAGCCACAGCUGCUUUCCUUUCUCAAAAAUAACUCAGAAUUAAACUUGGCUCUCAACACACAUGAAAAACAAAAUUAGUUAAUUAUGUAAAAUCCAGG
ensembl:lncRNA